CGCCGCGCCUUGCAGUCGUCUUGGAUUGGCACUGCUUCUGCAACAUCCACAGCUAAGAUAAAGCAGAAUAACGAGUAAAUUAACAUUGUUCUUACUAACUUGUGAGCCCCUGAAGUGAAACGGGCUUUAAAUAAUUUCAUUGACAUAGGUGGUUCAGCCCUUGAGAGUUCCAAUUAUGCACGCAACGCAGCUGCUGCUUUACCAUAUAGCUUUGUCUCGUUUAACAGGGUCUUCAACUCUCCGUCCUCUCUUUGUUCUCUUUUCUGAGUAAAUGUUAGACAUGUUUGAUUGUUAGCAACCCUUUCUAACUUUGUUACUAAUUUUCUUUUAUUCCCGUUAGUUGUAGUAAAAUUUGAGGGAAAAACACUGAACAUGAGAAUGAAUACCGAUUUGCUGUUGUGAUCAUAGUGGGGUCAGCUUGACUGACUCUUGUUUUUCCACCUUCGUUGAAGUUUCCUCUUCCCUUUAUAGUUUUUACUACAUUUUGUUUGGUAUGACUAAGUAGUUGACUGACUUUUAUGGGUUCUUUUUAAUGUCUAUCGUUUUUUUUCUAAUGUAGGUGAUUUUUUUCUCACUUUUUUUUUCUAAUUUAUCUUUUAUUUUUGGAUUUUAAUUCGAAAUCGCAAAACUUGAACCAUCAUAUGUUUUUAAAUUUUAAAUCACUUAUUUUAGAUAGAACAAAUUUUUUAAAAGUGGAUACAAGACAAAAUGACAUAAUUUUUUUAAUAUGAGUAUGGAACAAUUAUAGUCAUUGCUUGUUCUACUCGUCCUAUCUCGAAAUAAUCUUUUACCUUUUUUGUAUAUAAUUAUUAAAAUGAUAAAAAUGUAAUAAUAUAUUAUAGGAAAAAAAUCAUAUGUUUUAUAUUUAUAUUUUUAAAAAAUUAUGUUUAAAUACUUACUCGUCCUAUCUCGAAAUUUCUUGUAGUUAUACUGUCUUUGAGAUGUUUUUAUUCGCGAUUUUGAACUAAUUUUCUAAAUACCUAGGGGAGAUGAACCUUAUGAUGAAUUUUGUCUUUUGAUUUCUGUUUUAUGCAAUGAAUAAUUGAAUCUUAUUCUCAAUUAUGUGUGCUUAAUCCUUGAUUUAAGAUUUUCGAAUUAUUAAUUCAUGUUUGAUGUGCUUAAUUAAGAGUAGAUCUAGCAUAAUUGAGUGGAGUUGCAUGUAAUCCUAGAAAUAGGACGACAUAAAUCUAACGAAUUAGGUAUUCAUAAACGAGAACUCAAUCAUAUCCAUCAGCACAAAACCCAACCAGGCGAGUCACAUUCACAUGGUGGAUUCUACCUAUCGAACCCACCUCAUUGAUGAACUCUUAAUAUUUAACUAAAGUUUGCUUUCUACUUUUUUUUUAUUUCCAUUUUUAAGAAAAUGUUAUUUUAUUAAUUCAAUUAUCUAAAUUAAUAUUAUUUUAUUUAAAUUAUAUUAAUCCUCAUUUAAUUAUUACAAGUAUAUUAUUUUAAAAUUAUAAAAAAUAUUAUUUAAUAAAUUAAACAAAUAAACAUUUAAAAUCACAUACAUUACAUUAAAAACUAAUAUAUCUAAAUAUAUAUUUUACCACUUAUUUUAAUCUUGUUAUUUUUAAUUUCAUCAAAAUUAUAUAUCACUCGAGCCACUGCGACUGCUGACUGGUGAUUAUUGAAAGGUUCUGAAUUAAUACAUCCAAGACUUUUAUGAGCAUCGCCAUUGACUGACCGACGACUUGAAUUAAAGAAUUUUCCACAUUAGCUUUGUUAGUGGACUGAUUUUUCAAAGAAGGACUUGCUCUCAAUUGCAGCCAUAAAAUAAAUGAAUGAUUGGCAUUUUACAUUAAAGAACAUCCCAUUGUUUAUUUCUUCAUCGGAGCUCCACCGGAACUUGAUGAUGUUAAGACCCAGACUUGUCUUGUUUAGCAUCUUUGCCCUUACUUUAUCCCCAGAUGUUUCCGAUGGUAGAGCAGGCAAAAGCAACCACUGCGGCCCAUCUUUGUGUGGACACGUUAAUAUCAGUCACCCUUUCCGACUAAAAGGUCAGCCUCGUCGAUGUGGUGACCGUAGGUUUGAAUUAGAGUGCAAGAGAAACCGCACCAGUUUUCCCAUGAAAUACGGAAACUUUUAUGUCCUAAACAUCUCUUAUGUUGACCGAACGCUUCGACUUGUGGAUGUGAGUCUGGUCGAUGAAAACUGCUCAAUUCCUCGCAGUUCCAUUGUCGAUUCUUCAGACAGCUAUCUAGAACACAUAAUAGCGAAUGGAGCAGACACCAUGUAUCUGGUAAAUUGCACGACAAGUAUGAAGUCUUCUUCAGUUUAUGUCGAUGCUUCUCGUUGCCCAACCAAUAGCUCUUCUUCUCCUUGGACCUACUUCUACUUUCCGGUCUCGUUUUCAAAUAUAUCCGAUUUCGAUCAUUCGUGCAGAUUUAUAGCCCAGUUUCCUGUCAUGCUUUCCAAUAUUAGUGGCUUAUCCCCUUCUUACAUUUACAAAAACCUGUUGGAAGGCGUCGAGGUGUCCUGGUAUCGUUUUUGGCCUUCAAACCCGAUUCUCAAAGUGUAAGAGACUUCGAUCUUUAGAUUCUUUCAAUCUAUAACUUUUCAAGGCCUUAUUUAUUGAUUGGUUGCUUUUUUUUUUCCUGGGGGGGGGGGUAUUCUAGCUUGCUACAGUUGCUACUUCCAAUUGCAGCAUACAUAGUAACCAUUGCGAACUUUCUUCAGCAGGGAAGCAUCAACUAUUAUACUCCUUAUCAUAAAGGUUAAUGUUUCAGAUUUCAUAAGUAUCUGUAUUUAUUGGAUUUGCCCUUGAAUUGCAUUCAAGUUAGUAAUACUAUUGUUGAAUUGGUGUUUUAAACAGCAUCCUUCUUAGUUUGUCUUGCAGUAUCAGGUAAAUCUCUUUCCCCGCCCCACUUUUUUAUGUUAUCUUUAUAAAAUAAUCAUGAAUGCUGAUUUAUCCUUGUGUAUGCCCCUUGAUGGGCAAGCAGCUGGCAUAUUGUUAGCGAGAACUUUGUUGGGGAUAUUCUGCCUCAUUACACUUGUUAUACACAAACUAAGGAGGAGGCAUUUAUCGAUGGAUGAUAAUAUUGAGAACUUUCUUAAAAGUCAAAAUAAUUUAAUACCAAUUCGAUAUUCGUAUUCUGAAAUAAAAAGAAUUACGGAAGGUUUUAAAGUUAAAUUAGGUCAAGGAGGUUAUGGUUCUGUGUUUAAAGGAAAGCUUCGCAGUGGUCGGCUAGUGGCAAUAAAAAUGUUGGAUAAAUUCAAAGCAAAUGGAGAAGAUUUCAUCAAUGAAGUUGCUACUAUUGGAAGGAUUCAUCAUAUUAAUGUAGUGCAACUUAUUGGAUUUUGUGUAGAGAGAUCAAAACAAGCUCUUGUAUAUGAUUUUAUGGUGAAUGGGUCUUUGGAUAAAAUUAUAUUUUCAAAGGAGAAUUGCACUUUAAGUUGGCAAAAAUUAUUUGAGGUUGCACUAGGUGUGGCUCGAGGGAUUGAAUACUUGCACAGGGGUUGUCAAAUGCAAAUUUUGCAUUUUGAUAUCAAGCCGCACAACAUUCUUUUGGACGAAAACUUUAUCCCUAAAGUUUCUGAUUUUGGUCUUGCAAAAUUAUAUUCAGUGGAUGAUAGUAUUAUUUCUCUCACAGCGGCUCGUGGUACAUUAGGAUACAUUGCUCCUGAAUUAUUUUACAGAAAUAUUGGAGGCAUCUCAUAUAAAGCCGAUAUUUAUAGUUUUGGAAUGUUAUUAAUGGAAAUGGUGGGAAGAAGAAAGAAUUUGAAUGCAUUUGAUGAUCAUUCUAGUCAAAUUUAUUUUCCGUCAUGGAUUUAUGAUCGAUUUGAACAAAGAGAGAACAUAGAAUUAGGGGAUGAAACAGAAGUUGAUGACAAAAUAGCAAGGAAGAUGAUAAUGGUUGCAUUUUGGUGCAUACAAAUGAAUCCCACUAAUCGUCCUUCAAUGAGCAAAGUUUUGGAAAUGCUCGAAAAUGAACUUGAUCACCUUGAAUUACCGUCCAGACCUUCACUAUUUUCUCUCGAAAAGUCAAUUGAAGAUCAUGUUAGUAAGAAUGUAUCGGAGGAACCAUCAACGUCAAAAAGUUGUGUGGACCUCUAAGUAUAAUGUUUGAUUUUAUUCGGGCCUUUUAUACAUAUAGUUCUGCAACUGUAAGCUUUUAAUUUGUAGCAUUUCAUGUUCAGUUGUAUAAUAUCCAGCAUCAUGUAAUACAACUAUUAAUGGAUGUGUGUUUUAGACUUUAGCUCCUUAGCUUCAUGUUUCAAUUAUUAAAAAUGUCUCCCAGUCACCAUAUAAUGAGUUAAUAUCAAAUUCGUUUACAAUUAUUUAGUAUAUAAGUGACUCUUAACAUUGGGUGAUCUCAUGAGAAAGUUUUUACUGAUCUCUUAUUGUAAUAUGUAAUCAUGAUAAUUAUGAGUGUGGUGUGGCGGUUGCUCACUUCAUUUUUAAAUCAUUUAGUCAAGAAUUUGAGUUCCGCUCAAAGAAAUGGAACACUUACCAACUAUGAAUACCUUAAUUUUGACAAUUAAACAACAUUUAAGAUAGAAUCUUAUCAUUUAUUAGUAGAAUUUAUAUACCAACAGCCAUGCAGCAUUUCAUUUAUGAGUUCAUAUAAAAUCUUAGCAUUGGUGUAAUAUGAGUGUGCUAAUAGACGAUUUCAAGUUUCAACUGAUUCUAGUACUACUAAUAAUGAGGCUCGAGCUUGUUCUUAUUCCAUUUCUGAAAUAGUGGCUAGAUCUCUGUUAACCGGCUUCCUAGGUAUGGUGGCACCCAUCGUCUUCGUUGGAUCCGUCGACGCAAAAGGAUUUGGUGGCAUUGUAAGAACGUCAAGCUCUCCCUCUAACAUCUGAACCACCACUUUCAUCGAAGGACGAUCAACGGGAUACCACUGAAUGCACCAAAGUCCAACAAUCAUGAGUUUCUUUGCUAUCCCUGUUUGUGCAUCAUCUUCAAUUCGAAUCCCGAACUCCCCUCCUUUAUCCAAACGAUCAUAUGCCCAUUCUGGGAAAUACACUUGGCUUGUGUUCUCGACCGUAACAUCUAUGUUCUUUCUCCCCCCAACCAUUUCAAGCAACAGCAUUCCAAAACUAUAAACAUCAGAUUUAUAUGACACAUUUCCAAAGUUGCGAGACAGUACCUCUGGUGCAAUAUAGCCCAUGGUACCUCUAGCUGUUGUCAUUGAAAUAGCACUUUGUUCCUUGGAACACAAUUUAGCAAGGCCGAAAUCAGAGAUCUUAGGAUUGAAGUUGUGAUCAAGCAAAAUAUUGUGAGGUUUGAUGUCAAAAUGGAGGAUACGUUGCUCGCAACCUUGAUGCAGGUACUCAAUGCCUUUGGCUACACCGACAGCAAUAUCCUGAAGUUUUUCCCAACUCAGGGAUCGAUCCUUGCCCUUGGCUGAAAAUAUGAACUUCUCUAAUGACUCGUUUGGUAGGUAUUCAUAAACGAGAGCUCUGUCAUAUCCAUCGGCACAAAACCCAACCAGGCGAGUCACAUUCACAUGGUGGAUUCUGCCCAUCGAACCCACCUCGUUGAUGAACUCUUCACCAUUUCCCUUGAAAUUAUUGAGCACCUUGACAGCAACUAAAACAUCACUGGAAAGUCUGCCUUUGAAGACAGUUCCAUAGCCUCCUUGUCCCAGUUUGUCCUUGAAAUGAUUAGUUAUCCUUUUAAUAUCAGCAUAGGAGUAUCUUGAGGGUUUAAGCUCUUUAUAAUCUUCCAAAAACUUUUCAAUCUUGACUUGGCUUUCUUUCUCCUUUUUGUCUAACCGAUAUCUCCACCCAACUGCAAUGGCAAUGGUUGCAGCAAUUGAAGAACCCAACACAAUACCUGCAAAUCAGCAUACAUCCCUCUGUUAUAUCCCGUCUUAAAUUAUUGAAGCUAAAAGGGAAAUUUCAUUUACCUGCAAUCAUUAGCCUUUCUCCCAAACCUGCCAAGCAUUUAAAAUUAUUCAGCUUUGAUACAUGGGAAAUCUAAGAAAAGGGCUCACUGUAAGUUUACAACAUUAAGCUUCACGUUGAUGCAGGCUAAUGAAUUUUUUAACGUACGUUGUACAAUUAUAAUAGUUAAAACAUACCUAUAUGGUGCUUGGGGAUAUAAAAACACUCGGUUUGUUCCUUGGUGCUAUUAUUGUUGGUCAAUCUACAUCCCCUUCCUUGAGCUUCGCAAUCACCACAGUCUGGUUUAUACCAACGUAACUGAAAACGGAUACCAUAAGGAGAAAUGGGUGUUGAGAAGUUGCGAAAGUAGCUGCAAUUCAACAGGUUGAGUCCAUAAUAAUUUUCAUCAGAAGCAAAAGCUAUAAUUUAGGAGCCAGGGGUGCUUAAGCAAGCGACUCUAUAUCUUUUAUACAAAGCCUUCUCUUGGCUUAAACAUUCGAACAAGGUAUAGUUGGAUUCAGCUGGUUGGGAUCUAUAAUCUUUUAGGCCGCUGAAACCUGGUUGUUCCUCCGCGAAUGGAAAGGCAGAUAAAUUGAGAUCUAAAAGCUGCUGCCAGAGGCAACGGCCGGGAACGUAGAAGUCAAUCCGUUGAGCUUCAUAAUCUAUGUGCUUCACCAAUAGCUUCAGCGAACGUGGUAUCUUCAGCAGGGUCUGUUUGUUUUCUGAGCAGGAAAGCUGAAACCCAGGAUGAUGAUAGCCGCAGUGGGGAGACUGCUUGCCUUCUAAACGGAAGGGGAAACGGACAGGUGGAUCCUGGUGGUUGCACCGCCGCACCUUGCAGUCGUCUUGGAUUGGCACUGCUUCUGCAACAUUCACAGCUAAGAUAAAGCAGAAUAACGAGUAAAUUAACAUUGUUCUUACUAACUUGUGAGCCCCUGAAGUGAAACGGGCUUUAAAUAGUUUCAUUGACAUAGGUGGUUCAGCCCUUGAGAGUUCCAAUUAUGCACGCAACGCAGCUGCUGCUUUACUACAUAGCUUUGUCUCGUUUAACAGGGUCUUCAACUCUUCGUCCUCUCUUUGUCCUCUUUUAUGAGUAAAUGUUGGACAUGUUUGAUUGUUAGCAACCCUUUCUAACCUUGUUACUAAUUUUCUUUUAUU
rnacentral:lncRNA from 1 species